ACUGGUGAGUAAUACGUAGGAAUCUACCCUAGAGUGGGGGAUAACCCGGGGAAACUCGGGCUAAUACCGCAUGGUCUCUAUGGAGUAAAGGUGGCUAGCAAUAGCUAUCGCUUUAGGAUGAGCCUACGCCGGAUUAGCUAGUUGGUAGGGUAAUGGCCUACCAAGGCAACGAUCCGUAGCUGGUCUGAGAGGACGACCAGCCACACUGGGACUGAGAUACGGCCCAGACUCCUACGGGAGGCAGCAGUGGGGAAUAUUGGACAAUGGGCGAAAGCCUGAUCCAGCAAUGCCGCGUGUGUGAUGAAGGCCUGCGGGUUGUAAAACACUUUCGUUGGGGAAGAAAUGCUCAAAGCUAAUAUCUUUGAGAGUUGACGUUACCCAAAGAAGAAGCACCGGCUAACUCUGUGCCAGCAGCCGCGGUAAUACAGAGGGUGCAAGCGUUAAUCGGAGUUACUGGGCGUAAAGGGCGCGUAGGUGGAUAUUUAAGUCGGAUGUGAAAUCCCCGGGCUUAACCUGGGAAUUGCAUUCGAUACUGGAUAUCUCGAGUAUGGUAGAGGAAAGCGGAAUUCCCGGU
rnacentral:rRNA from 1 species